rnacentral:rRNA from 1 species
ACUGGAACUGAGACACGGUCCAGACUCCUACGGGAGGCAGCAGUGGGGAAUAUUGGACAAUGGGCGAAAGCCUGAUCCAGCCAUGCCGCGUGUGUGAAGAAGGUCUUCGGAUUGUAAAGCACUUUAAGUUGGGAGGAAGGGCAGUAAAUUAAUACUUUGCUGUUUUGACGUUACCGACAGAAUAAGCACCGGCUAACUCUGUGCCAGCAGCCGCGGUAAUACAGAGGGUGCAAGCGUUAAUCGGAAUUACUGGGCGUAAAGCGCGCGUAGGUGGUUCGUUAAGUUGGAUGUGAAAUCCCCGGGCUCAACCUGGGAACUGCAUUCAAAACUGACGAGCUAGAGUAUGGUAGAGGGUGGUGGAAUUUCCUGUGUAGCGGUGAAAUGCGUAGAUAUAGGAAGGAACACCAGUGGCGAAGGCGACCACCUGGACUGAUACUGACACUGAGGUGCGAAAGCGUGGGGAGCAACAGGAUUAGAUACCCUGGUAGUCCACGCCGUAAACGAUGUCAACUAGCCGUUGGGAGCCUUGAGCUCUUAGUGGCGCAGCUAACGCAUUAAGUUGACCGCCUGGGGAGUACGGCCGCAAGGUUAAAACUCAAAUGAAUUGACGGGGGCCCGCACAAGCGGUGGAGCAUGUGGUUUA